rnacentral:rRNA from 1 species
AAAUCAGUGGCGGUGCCAUUUGGCUUCAAGCGUAGUAAUUCUUCUCGCUUUGGAGAUCCAGGUGGUUACUUGCCAAUAACCCCCAAUUUUUCAGGUUGACCUCGGAUCAGGUAGGGAUACCCGCUGAACUUAAGCAUAUCAAUAAGCGGAGGAAAAGAAACCAACAGGGAUUACCUCAGUAACGGCGAGUGAAGCGGUAACAGCUCAAAUUUGAAAUCUGGCAGCAAUGUCCGAGUUGUAAUUUGUAGAGGAUGUUUCGAGCAUGGUCUGGCCUAAGUUCCUUGGAACAGGACGUCAUAGAGGGUGAGAAUCCCGUAUGCGGUCAGGUGCCUACGCUCAUGUGAAACUCCUUCGACGAGUCGAGUUGUUUGGGAAUGCAGCUCAAAAUGGGUGGUAAAUUUCAUCUAAAGCUAAAUAUUGGCCAGAGACCGAUAGCGCACAAGUAGAGUGAUCGAAAGAUGAAAAGCACUUUGGAAAGAGAGUUAAACAGUACGUGAAAUUGUUGAAAGGGAAGCGCUUGCAACCAGACUUGCACGCAGCUGAUCAUCCGCUGUUCUCAGUGGUGCACUCGGUUGCGUUCAGGCCAGCAUCGGUUUUGGUGGUGGGAUAAAGGCCUUAGGAAUGUAGCUGCUUUCGGGCAGUGUUAUAGCCUAGGGUGCAAUGCCGCCUACUGGGACCGAGGACCGCGCUUCGGCUAGGAUGCUGGCGUAAUGGUUGUAAGCGACCCGUCUUGAAACACGGACCAAGGAGUCUAACAUCUAUGCGAGUGUUUGGGUGUCAAACCCAUACGCGUAAUGAAAGUGAACGGAGGUCAGAACCCUUAAGGGUGCAUGAUCGACCGGUCCUGAAGUCUUCGGAUGGAUCUGAGUAAGAGCAUAGCUGUUGGGACCCGAAAGAUGGUGAACUAUGCCUGAAUAGGGUGAAGCCAGAGGAAACUCUGGUGGAGGCUCGCAGCGGUUCUGACGUGCAAAUCGAUCGUCAAAUUUGGGUAUAGGGGCGAAAGACUAAUCGAACCAUCUAGUAGCUGGUUCCUGCCGAAUU